GCCCUUCCAUAGCCUCCUCCACAGCCAUCUUGUGUGUAAUUCAUAUUGUUCUUCACCGAGUAUUUCAUAAUAGCGAUAGAUUUCAUGCAAACAAUCCGAUAAAAUGCUAGCCUUUCCAAGCCUUGCGACUAUUUCCUAGCACUCUCCUCCGCAGAGGCGUUGCGUUUUGUUUUGGGAGGUUUUAUUGCAAAAUUUUUUUCUUAAAAAUAUCAAGUUAUAUUAAGAGCCCCCCCCCCCUCCCCAAUCGCCACAAAAACCAUUCUCUCAGAAAGUACACGUUACAUGCUCGAAGCUGAAACUGAUUAAGUUCGUCUCGACUGAGGAAAAAGACGAUAUACUGGAGGAACUUGAUUUGGGAAAUCUCGUUAAAGCAGUUGUAGAUAUGGUUCCAAGAAGAAUAGAUUUAGUUUAGAUUUUUAACUGUUAAAUACAUGUAUGUAUCAUCAUAGCAUGAAUAUUUCUUCUCAGACUUAUUCUGUAUCGUAUGAAAAAGCAACGCAAUUUUGAGAAUGCG